rnacentral:snoRNA from 1 species
UUUUAUGAUGAAUACAUUCGCGUGAACAAUCUCUGAAUCAAAACCCUUUGGGUUUUAGGAUUAGAAAACUUAUGUUGCCUUCCUUCUGAUA